AAGAAAGUACAGCAUCUUGCAGGUGUUAGUUUUGUAAAUGAUUCAAGCUCUGACCGCACUCAUCAUUACAAAUGCUACCUGAGGUGAACUUGUGGUAAACUGGGAACUCUGGGGACAGGACAAGGACAACACUAAAAGGCCACUGAACCCACACGUGGUGCCUGCAUGAUACACUCAACCCACACAUGGCGCCUGCACGAUACAACAUUAGAAUACAAGUAGUACUAAUCAUUAAGGAAUGGCAGAACAAGGAGCUGCUCUCACUUAUGACUCCACUGUCUGAUGAAAGAACAAAGCCGCUUGAUGACAAUGGAUCCUCAAAAGGUCAAAGGGCAGACUAACCUCUCAGGCAGUAACAUCCCAGUCUGCUUCAGUGGUCCAGAAAUCAGGAGCAAACCAAGACUCAGCUGGAUAGUGAUGAUUCGCUCACCCCCUGCCAUGUCAGCUGACCAGGAAUGAGGCAAGCUGCCUCGUUACCCCCGAGACUGUCUGGAGGCCUUCCUCUCCUCUGAGGACCCAGUGAGGGUGGAGCACAGUGAGACACUUCUACAGCCAGAGAGUCAAGAAAUGGAACAGCAAGGCCACAGAACAUGACAUACGCAGAGCUGUGGGAGACCACCUGAAGCAUAGGUAGAGACAGGGGAAUUCCCCUUUACCACGCCACCACCAAACACCUUCAACAGGCUUGGUCUGUUUGAUCCAUUUGUUUGUUUCAGUUUUCAGUAGUUGAAUCAUUUGACGCAUUGUUGAUUUAAAAAAAUUCAACAAAUGGAUUGGUUUUAAAGGUGAUACUAAACUUAUAUACCAUGCACAAUUUUGACAUAGUGGAAGAUAUCCUGAAUUUGUACCAUCUUUCAUUCUAAUAUGGACCAAGAUGUAUGUAGCUUUUGCAGAUAUUUGUUCAUUAGUUUUGCAAGAGUGUUGAUUGGUCGAUCAUUGGGUUCAUUAGUUUCUCAAUAUGCCAUUGAUUAAAAGAGUAAGAAUUUGAUGCAAUAUCCAACCCAAAAUAUAAGCUUGUUUUACUCCAUUGUUUGCAAACAAUACAAUUGUAAAAAACAAAAGUCAGUUGGUUGCAUAAAUAAUGACAAUUACUAAAUGUUACUUGAAAUAUCAAAACCGAAUUGAAACGCCUUUGAUAAAAUUUAAUGGCAAUAAUUCAGUUAAUGGUAAGGCAUGGAAUAAUGGACGUUUGAAAUAUGAGCAGGUGAUGAUUCGAGUCAUAGUUCUUCAGUAGUGGAAUAAAGACAAUUAGAACAAAUGUUGUACAGAAAUACUGUGUGUAAAUACUGGCGUGAUGUAUGAUUGUUAAUAAAAUUGUCCAUAUACCAAAAAACAUUA